rnacentral:rRNA from 1 species
GACGAACGCUGGCGGCGUGCCUAAUACAUGCAAGUCGAACGAGAAUUUUUUACACCGAGUGCUUGCACUCACCGUAAGAAAUUCGAGUGGCGGACGGGUGAGUAACACGUGGGUAACCUGCCCAAAAGAAGGGGAUAACAUUUGGAAACAAAUGCUAAUACCAUAUAACCAUGAUGACCGCAUGGUCAUUAUGUAAAAGGUGGUUUUGCUAUCGCUUUUGGAUGGACCCGCGGCGUAUUAACUAGUUGGUAGGGUAACGGCCUACCAAGGUGAUGAUACGUAGCCGAACUGAGAGGUUGAUCGGCCACAAUGGGACUGAGACACGGCCCAUACUCCUACGGGAGGCAGCAGUAGGGAAUCUUCCACAAUGGGCGCAAGCCUGAUGGAGCAACGCCGCGUGAAUGAAGAAGGUCUUCGGAUCGUAAAAUUCUGUUGUUAGAGAAGAAUAUGAGUAAUAGUAACUGAUUAUUCACUGACGGUAUCUAACCAGCAAGUCACGGCUAACUACGUGCCAGCAGCCGCGGUAAUACGUAGGUGGCAAGCGUUGUCCGGAUUUAUUGGGCGUAAAGGGAACGCAGGCGGUUUUUUAAGUCUGAUGUGAAAGCCUUCGGCUUAACCGGAGAUGUGCAUUGGAAACUGGAAAGACUUGAGUGCAGAAGANGAGAGUGGAACUCCAUGUGUAGCGGUGAAAUGCGUAGAUAUAUGGAAGAACACCAGUGGCGAAGCGGCUCUCUGGUCUGUAACUGACGCUGAGGUUCGAAGCAU